GCUGUCAUCUUCUGGAGUCUGGGCCUGACGAUGUUGGUGGAGUGGGUGCCGAAGGAGGUGAAGGAGAAGGGAAGGUUGCAGUAUGAUGUAGAAGCCUAUUCCUUGGCCGAGGACCACGAUCUGCUCCGAUUUACGUCGGUCGGGGAUUGUGAAGCUGCGAUCAACCAGGGCCCGUGGUUCACCGCUAGCUAGUUGUUACCCAAG
rnacentral:lncRNA from 1 species